rnacentral:rRNA from 1 species
AGCGAAAGCUGUGCUAAUACCGCAUACGAUCUACGGAUGAAAGCAGGGGACCGCAAGGCCUUGCGCGAGUGGAGCGGCCGAUGGCAGAUUAGGUAGUUGGUGAGGUAAAGGCUCACCAAGCCGUCGAUCUGUAGCUGGUCUGAGAGGACGACCAGCCACACUGGGACUGAGACACGGCCCAGACUCCUACGGGAGGCAGCAGUGGGGAAUUUUGGACAAUGGGCGCAAGCCUGAUCCAGCAAUGCCGCGUGCAGGAUGAAGGCCUUCGGGUUGUAAACUGCUUUUGUACGGAACGAAACGGUUCUCUCUAAUACAGGGGGCUAAUGACGGUACCGUAAGAAUAAGCACCGGCUAACUACGUGCCAGCAGCCGCGGUAAUACGUAGGGUGCGAGCGUUAAUCGGAAUUACUGGGCGUAAAGCGUGCGCAGGCGGUUAUGUAAGACAGUUGUGAAAUCCCCGGGCUCAACCUGGGAAUUGCAUCUGUGACUGCAUAGCUAGAGUACGGUAGAGGGGGAUGGAAUUCCGCGUGUAGCAGUGAAAUGCGUAGAUAUGCGGAGGAACACCGAUGGCGAA